CGCCAGACUCUUACGGGAGGCAGCAGUGAGGAAUAUUGGUCAAUGGCCGGAAGGCUGAACCAGCCAAGUCGCGUGAGGGACGACUGCCCUAUGGGUUGUAAACCUCUUUUAUAAGGGAAGAAUAAAUGCUACGUGUAGCAUGAUGCCUGUACCUUAUGAAUAAGCAUCGGCUAACUCCGUGCCAGCAGCCGCGGUAAUACGUAGGGGGCAAGCGUUAUCCGGAUUCACUGGGUGUAAAGGGAGCGUAGACGGCGGCGCAAGUCUGGAGUGAAAGCCCGGGGCCCAACCCCGGGACUGCUCUGGAAACUGCGGCGCUGGAGUACGGGAGGGGCAGGCGGAAUUCCUGGUGUAGCGGUGAAAUGCGUAGAUAUUAGGAGGAACACCAGUGGCGAAGGCGACUUUCUGGACAGUAACUGACGUUGAGGCACGAAAGUGUGGGGAGCAAACAGGAUUAGAUACCCGUGUA
rnacentral:rRNA from 1 species